AGUGAACGCUAGCGGUAGGCCUAACACAUGCAAGUCGAACGGCAGCACAGUAAGAGCUUGCUCUUACGGGUGGCGAGUGGCGUACGGGUGAGGUAUACAUCGGAAUCUACUUUUUCGUGGGGGAUAACGUAGGGAAACUUACGCUAAUACCGCAUACGACCUACGGGUGAAAGCAGGGGAUCUUCGCACCUUGCGCGACUGAAUGAGCCGAUGUCGGAUUAGCUAGUUGGCGGGGUAAAGGCCCACCAAGGCGACGAUCCGUAGCUGGUCUGAGAGGAGGAUCAGCCACACUGGAACUGAGACACAGUCCAGACUCCUGCGGGAGGCAGCAGUGGGGAAUAUUAGACGAUGGGCGCGAGCCUGAUCCAGCCAUACCGCGUAGGUGAAGAAGGCCUUCGGGUUGGAAAGCCCUUUUGUUGGGAAAGAAAAGCAGCAGGUUAAUACCCCGCGGUUCUGACGGUACCCAAAGAAUAAGCAACGGCUAACUUCGUG
rnacentral:rRNA from 1 species